rnacentral:rRNA from 1 species
UAAGGAAUAUUGGUCAAUGGACGCAAGUCUGAACCAGCCAUGCCGCGUGAAGGAUGAAGGUCCUCUGGAUUGUAAACUUCUUUUAUCUGGGACGAAAACGGGAUUUUUAUCUCAAUUGACGGUACCAGAGGAAUAAGCACCGGCUAACUCCGUGCCAGCAGCCGCGGUAACACGGAGGGUGCGAGCGUUAUCCGGAUUUACUGGGUUUAAAGGGUGCGUAGGUGGGCUUAUAAGUCAGUGGUGAAAUCUCCGAGCUUAACUUGGAAACUGCCGUUGAUACUAUAGGUCUUGAAUUAUCUGGAGGUAAGCGGAAUAUGUCAUGUAGCGGUGAAAUGCUUAGAUAUGACAUAGAACACCAAUUGCGAAGGCAGCUUACUACAUAUAAAUUGACGCUGAGGCACGAAAGCGUGGGGAUCAAACA